GUAGGUGGCAAGCGUUGUCCGGAAUUAUUGGGCGUAAAGCGCGCGCAGGCGGUUCUUUAAGUCUGAUGUGAAAGCCCACGGCUCAACCGUGGAGGGUCAUUGGAAACUGGAGAACUUGAGUACAGAAGAGGAAAGCGGAAUUCCACGUGUAGCGGUGGAAUGCGUAGAGAUGUGGAGGAACACCAGUGGCGAGGGCGGCUUUCUGGUCUGUAACUGACGCUGAGGCGCGAAAGCGUGGGGAGCAAACAGGGAUUAGAUACCCUGGUAGUCCACGCCGUAAACGAUGAGUGCUAAGUGUUAGGGGGUUUCCGCCCCCUUAGUGCUGCAGCUAACGCAUUAAGCACUCCGCCUGGGGAGUACGGCCGCAAGGCUG
rnacentral:rRNA from 1 species